CACAGGUCUCUACUCGGCUUGUUACUCCUGUCUCAGGGUAGGGGAGACUCUAAUUCUUGAGAAAGAGCAUACGUGAAUCGGAGUGAAGGCAGCCUACACUGGCAUAACCCCAGCAGCAUGUCGGGCUAUCCGAAUGGAAAAUAAAUGAUAGCUGAAUUUUGCAUAUUGAGAAUCUGAAUCUGUGGCUAGUAUUGUGUAAGGCACUGGUAUACAGAGUAAUAAUGGAACUCUCUUCCUGCAUUCAUAACAAAGUACCUUUUGAGUAAACACUGAGAAACGCUUGUCAAACUAAUUUACCACAAGUUUUAUCUUUGGCUGUUCUGCUGCUCCAAUCCUAAGUUUUCCUGGAAACAAGGGAUAAUCACACUGACCAUUUGGCUUGGUAUGGAUGUAAUCAACUCUGCAAAUGUGCCAUGUGAUAAUCUAGAAGAAUCAGAGAAAAUAAUGUAAUUAUUUAUCAACUAAGUACAGAGGCAGGGAUUGUUAUAGCACCCCAUGGUACCAUUUAAUGUCAGAAGAAAUGGUUGACGUAUGAUGCUGAUGAAAUAUUUCAAAAAAGAAAAUUCAAAUAACAGAAGUAAGCCAUUUGCUCCCAGAGGAACUGCUGACUCAUCUUUCUUGCACAGGGCAGACUACUGAGCACAUAACUCUCUGUGGAAUUUUCAAGUUUCUUUCCACAAUACUGCUUUUAAUACUAAUUUUAAGACUUAGGUGCCUAGAGAAGAUAAAGUUGGAUAGCCAAUUUUAUGGAAUUUCGCCUUCAAUAGGUUUACUUCUCAAUGCAAACCUAAACCACAAUGAGGUAUCACUUUACACUGGUCAGAAAGGCCAUCAUCAAAAAGUCUACAAAUAAUAAAUGCUGGAGAAGGUGUGGAGAAAAGGGAACUCUCCCACAUUGUUGGUAGGAAUGUAAAUUGGCGCAGUCAUGAUAGAAAACAGUAUGGAGAUUCUUUUUUUUUUUUUUUUUUUUUGGCUGUGCCCAUAGCAUGUGGAAGUUUCCAGGGCAGGUAUUGAACUUGUGCCACCACAGUGACCUGUGCUGCCCUGAACCACAACAACUGCAGUGACAACCCUGGAUCCUUAACCUGCUGUGCUACAAGAGAACUCCUGGAGGUUCUUUUAAAAACUAAAUAGAGCUACCAUGUGAUCCAGCAAUCCCAUUCCUGGGCAUAUAUAUACAGAAAAGAAGAAAACUCUAAUUUGAAAAGAAACAUGCAUCUCAACAGUCAUAGCAGGACUAUUUAUAAUAGCCAAGGGAUGGAAACAACCCACGUGCCCAUCAACAGAUGACUGGCUUAAGAAGAUGUGGUAUAUAUAACCACCUCACACCAGUCAGAAUGACCAUCAUUAAUAAGUCCACAAAUAACAAAUGCUGGAGGGAGUGUGGAGAAAAGGGAACCUUCCUGCACUGUUGGUGGGAAUGUAAGCUGGUAUAACCACUAUAGAGAACAGUAUGGAGGUACCUUAGAAAUUUGUACAUAGAACUAUCAUAUGACUCAGCAGUCACACUCUUGGGCAUAUAUCUGGACAAA
rnacentral:lncRNA from 1 species